UUGUAUUUGUUUGAGACCCUUCUACCGGUGUCGUCGUUCUUUCGUCUCUCUGCUCUGCCCCUUUAAUUCACGUUCGGAAGAGAGAGAGAGAGAGAGAGAGAGAGAGAGAGAGAGGAAGAGAGCGAGAGGGGGGGCGAAUUUAGUUGUUUUGUGUUGGUUUCUCCUUCCACGGGGCUUCUUCGGCGCUUCCCCUUUGCUUACUCACCGAGUCGGUAGACCACUGUUGGACUCCGCCGUUGUUUCUGCCCUCGGGAUUUGAUUCCUUUCCCCGCAGCUUCAGCUCCCCGCGAUCGGAUCUGAGGCCGACUCCCGGAAGCCGAGGAUGGGUAUGAUCCAGGCGGGAUUUGAUAUAAAUAAGUUAAGUGAAGAAGCCCAGUCCCGGUGGUUGAAGCCUGUAGAAGUUUUAUAUAUUCUGCAGAAUCAUGAAAGUUUUAAGAUCACCCAGAAGCCUCCUCAGAAGCCACCUAGUGGUUCUUUGUUCCUUUUCAACCGUAGAGUGCUUCGUUAUUUUCGUAAUGAUGGAUACUCGUGGCAGAAAAAGAAAAAUGGUAAAACUGCUCGUGAAGGUCAUGAGCGUCUUAAGGUUGGGAACUCUGAAGCAAUAAAUUGCUAUUAUGCCCGUGGAGAGAAAAAUUCUUGUAUUCAGAGGAGGAGCUACUGGAUGCUGGAUCCGGCCUACGAGCACAUAGCUCUUGUACAUUACAGAGAAAUUAUUGAGGGAAUAAAUGUGCCUGAAUCAACCUCAAGCAUCUCAAAUGAAUCUUCUUUGACAUUGAGAUAUGGUACCAGUGUCAGUAAUGAUCAACCACAAUGUUUUCCUUCUCACACUAGUGAAUUUAAUGAACCUUGUCAGAAUUCGUGCAGUCCAGGAUCAGUGGAAGAAGUUAAUUCUAAAUUUGAUAGAGGAAGUAAUGGAACAACCCAGUUAAAUGGAAUGGAGAGAUCAGAAUCUUGUCACCAGUUACAGCUGCCAGAGAUCAAUAUAGCACUGAGAAAUAUUGAAGAGCAGUUAAGUUUAGAUACUGAUGAUGAGGAUAGUUUUGUUUGCUCCAAAACGGAACUACUUCGAUGCAGCAAUCAAAACGUGGAAACACAUGGUUUACAGCUUCUGAAUCAUGAAACAAGAAACCCCCAAGAGGAAACACAUCGAAAUUCAUUUGAUGAAUUUAAACAAAUGUCAAAUGGUCAUAUUGAAGAUAGCAUGCAUAAUCUGUUGAAUAAUUCAGAUAAUCUUAGAUGGCUUCAUGGAUCUCCGUUUCAGCAAAGCUAUUCUUCUGAAGCAGAUUAUUAUGUAGCUAACCACAGUUGUAUGAAGCUAGGGACGGAUGAAGCUCCCAUUUCAGCUGAAAAUAGUGCAUUUGCCUCUUACCUUUCAGAUAUAUGGUAUGAGCAGAGUCAAUUUGAAGCGCCUUUUGGAACAGAACUGAGUUUGACUGUGCCACAAGGACAUCUGUUUACUAUACGUGAAGUCUCUCCUGAAUGGGCAUUUUCUUCUGAGAAUACAAAGGUUUUAAUCACAGGAAACUUUCUUUGCAGUCCUUCAGAGUGUGCAUGGGCUGUAUUAUUUGGAGAUAUUGAAGUUCCACUUGAAAUUGUUCAGGAUGGUGUUUUACGUUGCCAGUCUCCACAGCAUAUGGCAGGAAAGGUCAAACUGUGCAUUACAUCUGGCAAUGGGAAACCCUGCAGUGAAGUGCAUGAAUUUGUAUUUCAUGAAAAGCAAGAAAGAACAAGCUCCAGUAGAGCCUUAUCUCCAGCUGAUGCAAUAAAAAGCUCCAAUGAACUCUUAUUGCUUGUCAAUUUAGUGCAGAUACUUUUCUCUGGACAUAGUACUGUAGCUUCUCAACUGGAGCGUGAACAAGAAGUCAAUCCUUCAUGGGAGACGAAAAGACUGAAAAAUCAGUUGGAGUUGAUCAUUGAAUCAAUCCUAGUUGAGUCAGAGCCUCCAGAAGUGAUAAUGAAUUUAGUUCUGCAAGAACUAUUAAAGGAUAAAUUGCAGCAAUGGUUAACAUCCAAACAUGAGGGCAAUCCUGAUGAGGGUUCUGUGUUGUCCAAGCAUGAGCAAUGCAUCAUACACAUGAUCUCUGGCUUGGGAUAUCGGUGGGCCUUACACCCAAUUCUUAACUCUGGCACGUGCAUAAACUACCGUGAUUCAAAUGGAUGGACUGCACUUCACUGGGCUACUAGAUUUGGAAGGGAAGAAAUGGUUGCUGCACUGCUUGCUGCUGGUGCUUCGGCUGGAGCAGUCACAAAUCCAACCUCAGAAGAUCCAGCUGGCAAAACACCAGCUUCUCUAGCUGUUGAUAAUGGUCACAAAGGUCUUGCUGGAUAUCUUUCAGAAGCUGCACUAACUACUCAUCUUUUUUCUCUUACAACUGAGAAAACAAAGAUUUUGGAAGGGUCUGCUUCUAUGGAAGCUGAUAGAGGUGUGGACAACAUAUCUGAGAGAAGGGCCCACUUGCAAGGUGGGACGGAGGAUCAGCUUUCACUAAAAGAUUCAUUAGCAGCUGUCAGAAAUGCCACUCAAGCUGCAGCCCGUAUACAAGCAGCCUUCCGUGCCUAUUCUUUCAGGAAGAAUAUACAAAAAACUGAUAUACUUCAAGGCAUAUAUGAUAUAUUUCCUACAGAAGUCCAUGGACUUUCAGUUGCAUCCAGGUCGCAUAAAACUCUUUUUGGUUAUCAUGAUCAAAAGUUUGAUAAAGCAGCUGUAUCAAUUCAAAAGAACUAUCGACGUUGGAGAAGACGCAAAGAGUUCAUAAAACUGCGUGCUAAUGUUGUGAAGAUACAGACUCAUGUACGAGCUCAUCUAGCAAACAAAAAGGAGAAAGAAUUUCUUUGGAGUGUUGGUAUACUAGAAAAGAUCAUGCUAAGGUGGUAUAGAAAAGGAGUUGGCUUACGAGGGUUCCGAGCUGAACUGGAACCUAUUGAUGUGGAGGAAGAAGAUGACGUAAUCAAGGUUUUCCGCAAACAAAGAGUCAAUAAAGCUCUGGAUGAAGCUCUAUCAAGGGUCAUAUCUGUGGUAGAGAGUCCUGAAGCACGGUUGCAGUACCGCCGGAUGCUCGAAACCUACCAACAAGCUAAGGCUGAGCUAAGUCAGUGUGGAUAAUGUAACCACAGAUAACUUUGAGCGUGGAAAUACCAUUACAACAUAUUUCACUUACCCGAGAAGAUCGACUGAAGUUGAUCAAACAUGUAGAUAUCAGUGUACCUCCAACGAGUAAAGCACAAAGUUUGGAUGAGAGAUCGAUGUCGAGCAAUAUGAUUCCUUACAUGCUUCAAGCAACAAAGAAAGAGAUGAGAAAUAGUCAAACACUCCCACAUGUUCAACUUGCAGGGUAUAUCUAUCUUUUUUAGUAUAUACAAAUAUUCUAAGAUGGUGAUUGAUCCAAUAUUUUUUAGGAGGAGAUGUUCUUUGGAUUUGUGGAGGGAAGCAUGACAUGUAAAAGGAGCGACAGCUCCUAUUGCUAUGUAUGACACCUUCUCCUCUAGUAGUGCUCAUUUUUGUGCUUCAUUUUAUUCUCUUGAACAUGCUGCUUUAUCAUCGAUCACCAAUAUUUAUAGUGGGCCA